GUGGGGAAUAUUGGACAAUGGGCGCAAGCCUGAUCCAGCCAUGCCGCGUGAGUGAUGACGGCCUUAGGGUUGUAAAGCUCUUUCGGUGGGGACGAUAAUGACGGUACCCACAGAAGAAGCCCCGGCUAACUUCGUGCCAGCAGCCGCGGUAAUACGAAGGGGGCUAGCGUUGUUCGGAAUCACUGGGCGUAAAGCGCACGUAGGCGGGUGAUUAAGUCAGGGGUGAAAUCCCGAGGCUCAACCUCGGAACUGCCUUUGAUACUGGGCAUCUUGAGUCCGGGAGAGGUGAGUGGAACUGCGAGUGUAGAGGUGAAAUUCGUAGAUAUUCGCAAGAACACCAGUGGCGAAGGCGGCUCACUGGCCCGGAACUGACGCUGAGGUGCGAAAGCGUGGGGAGCAAACAGG
rnacentral:rRNA from 1 species